rnacentral:rRNA from 1 species
CAUUCCUACGGGGGGCUGCAGUGGGGAAUCUUGCACAAUGGGGGAAACCCUGAUGCAGCGACGCCGCGUGAGCGAUGAAGCCCUUCGGGGUGUAAAGCUCUUUCGGCAGGGACGAUGAUGACGGUACCUGGAGAAGAAGCUGCGGCUAACUACGUGCCAGCAGCCGCGGUAAUACGUAGGCAGCGAGCGUUGUUCGGAAUUACUGGGCGUAAAGAGUGUGUAGGCGGUGCUCUAAGUUCGGUGUGAAAUCUCCUGGCUUAACUGGGAGGGUGCGCCGGAAACUGGAGUGCUCGAGCGUGGGAGAGGAAAGCGGAAUUCCUGGUGUAGCGGUGAAAUGCGUAGAUAUCAGGAGGAACACCUGCGGUGUAGACGGCUUUCUGGACCAUUGCUGACGCUGAGACACGAAAGCGUGGGUAGCAAACAGGAUUAGAUACCCUUGUAGUC